AGCCAACUGCGCUUGUCAGCAACCCGGAUGAGAGCAGGAUUGGUGCAACGGCGUCACCCAUUAUGGCCCAUUGUGCUGUUGAAGAUGUCGGCCAGGUAAUGUCUGGCAACUGUACGAUACGCCAGGAUGCCUUAAAUGUAGUCUUGCGUGUAGUCUUGCGUGUAGUCCCCUCCCUUCACUCCGUCUGCGUCUGCGUGUAUAUCGUUUGCUGCGCGCAUUCAUGGACGCUUGCGUGUGCAACACAUGCUAUGCGUCACGUGUGUUCAAAUGUCAAGGUGUGGUGCGUGUCAUGCCUCCAACUUCCUGCCCCGCCAUUGCGCCUUGACUUGCCAUACACCUCGCGUACCGUGCGCAGGAAGAAUGGCGGCCAUACGACAACAAGUAUGAAUGCAGCAGGACUGGUAUUGUGCGGAGGAGACAAGACGGAGGGGCAAUUGCAGUGCGCAUGCUCAGGGGAAAGCCAUGGGUUUACAUAAAUAGAAAGUCCGUUCAGUUGAGCACUGUUAUGGAGGCCUGUUGGAAUGACGCAUAGGCCGCUCAGAGUUUCAGGACCUGCUUGUUGUAGGAACUUCAAGGAGUGAAAGGGGCUGCAAUAGCCUUUGCUGCUGGCUGCAACACGCAUGGUGUGAGCGUUAUGCAGCCUCUGCUGCUGGGAGGGGCACUGGGUGCGCAGGCGGUGUCAGGAGCCGUAAGCAGGGACCGGGCCGCGACGCGCCCAUCCGCACGGGGCCUGUAGGUUGAUGCGGUAUGCCUGGCGUGUAGAACGCGCGCGCAAACACAUGGUACCAUGUGAUUACAGCGCUGGAAGCUUGGGGAGUCGCUGGUGGGGGCCGUAUGCAGCCUCUGCUGCUGGCAGCCGUAAGCAGGGACCGGGCCGCGGCGCGCCCAUCCGCACGGGGCCUGUCGGUUGAUGCGGUAUGCCUGGCGUGUAGAACGCGUGCCCCAACACAUUGUACCAUGUGAUUACAGCGCUGAAAGCUUGGGGAGUCACUGGUGGGGGCGGAAUGCAGCCUCUGCCGCCGGCAGGGGCACUGGGUGCUCAGGCAAUGUCAGGAACCGUAAGCAGGGACAGGGCAGUGGCGCGCCCAUCCGCACGGGGCCUGUCGGUUGAUGCGGUAUGCCUGGCGUGUAGAACGCGUGCCCCAACACAUUGUACCAUGUGAUUACAGCACUGGAAGCUUCGGAGUCGCUGGUGGGGGCGGUAUGCAGCCUCUGCCGCCGGCAGGGGCACUGGGUGCUCAGGCGAUGUCAGGAACCGUAAACAGGGACAGGGCAGUGGCGCGCCCAUCCGCACGGGGCCUGUAGGUUGAUGCGGUAUGCCUGGCGUGUAGAACGCGCGCGCAAACACAUGGUACCAUGUGAUUACAGCGCUGGAAGCUUGGGGAGUCACUGGUGGGGGCGGUAUGCAGCCUCUGCCGCCGGCAGGGGCACUGGGUGCUCAGCCGAUGUCAGGAACCGUAAGCAGGGACAGGGCAGUGGCGCGCCCAUCCGCACGGGGCCUGUAGGUUGAUGCGGUAUGCCUGGCGUGUAGAACGCGUGCCCCAACACAUUGUACCAUGUGAUUACAGCACUGGAAGCUUCGGAGUCGCUGGUGGGGGCGGUAUGCAGCCUCUGCCGCCGGCAGGGGCACUGGGUGCUCAGGCGAUGUCAGGAACCGUAAACAGGGACAGGGCAGUGGCGCGCCCAUCCGCACGGGGCCUGUAGGUUGAUGCGGUAUGCCUGGCGUGUAGAACGCGCGCGCAAACGCAUGGUACCAUGUGAUUACAGCGCUGGAAGCUUGGGGAGUCGCUGGUGUGGGCCGUAUGCAGCCACUGCUGCUGGCAGCCGUAAGCAGGGACAGGGCAGCGGCGCGCCCAUCCGCACGGGGCCUGUCGGUUGAUGCGGUAUGCCUGGCGUGUAGAACGCGUGCCCCAACACAUUGUACCAUGUGAUUACAGCACUGGAAGCUUCGGAGUCGCUGGUGGGGGCGGAAUGCAGCCUCUGCCGCCGGCAGGGGCACUGGGUGCUCAGGCA
rnacentral:lncRNA from 1 species